CCCUUAGAUGUUCUGGGCCGCACGCGCGCUACACUGAUGCAUUCAACGAGUUUCUUCCUGGUCCGAGAGGAAUGGGUAACCUUUUGAAAGUGCAUCGUGAUAGGGAUAGACUAUUGCAAUUAUUGGUCUUCAACGAGGAAUUCCUAGUAGACGUAGUUCAUCAGACUGCAUCGAUUACGUCCCUGCCCUUUGUACACACCGCCCGUCGCUCCUACCGAUUGAAUGCUCAGGUGAGCCAUUCGGACUUUCAUCAUGCUGGUUUCCAGUUUUGAUGAAGGAAAGUCUUGCGAACCUUAUCAUUUAGAGGAGGAGAAGUCGUAACA
rnacentral:rRNA from 1 species